rnacentral:tRNA from 2 species
GCGCCCGUAGCUCAAUUGGCAGAGCAGGGGACUCUUAAUCCCAAGGUUAGAGGUUCGAUUCCUCUCGGGCGUACCA